GGGGUCUCCCCAAAUCCCCUUGCGCUCGCUUUUGCCUGAAUUUAGGGACCUUUCCACCCCACUCAGAGCUCGCAGUCUAGCGGUCCCCGUACCCAGGUCAGGGUGCCCAGCCGGAGGCCGGGUAGCCACCUGAGGUGACAGAGUCAUCCGGACGUCUGGGUCCCAGCGAGGCCCAACUGCCUCAAGACCUCGCACCUCUGCCCUGCUGCGCCGGGGAGGUCGCGCUUCUGGUCUCCUGGCGAUCCUGGCUGUCCGGAAGCGGAGUAGGACUCCUUCCCUUCGUCCCCUGGGUCCCCGCCAGGCGGCGCCAUCAGCCUGGCCGGGAUUCCCCUGCGGCUGCGAGCCCUGGCCACUCCAGGGGUGUUGAAAUUGGCGAGGAGAGCGGAGAAACGGGCUGUCACAAAGCCGUGUACCACUUGGAAUAAGUUUCUCUCGUGGGCUGUGUUUUCCAUCAUUAGGAUCUCCUGGCGUACAAAUUCCUAUGCUCCACCCCCGAAGAUCCUGAUUCAGGGGAUCUGGGGUGGCGCCUGGAAAUCACCAUUUUAAUACAGCUGCUCCAGGUUGAUGCCCAUAGUCUGCGCACCUCGCCUUCAGAAACUCUGGUAUAACUGGUGGAGAGGAACAUUGCAUUGGGUUGGUUAUGGGACUGUUUAUCUUCCGGAAGGCUUCCAAGAGGAGGUGAUUCUUGCUGGGCUUUGUAUUGAGAGACUAGACUAUCUGCUGGUUCUUUGCCUCACAGUUAUGAAUUCCCUCCCCCGCCACCACCAGGAUGCGGAAGAUCUCAGUGCUGCUCUUCCUGGCCUGGGUGGGCUUCCUCUUCUACGCCGGCAUUGCUCUCUUCACCAGUGGCUUCCUGCUCACCCGUUUGGAGCUCACCAACCAUAGCAGCUGCCAAGAGCCCCCAGGCCCUGGGUCCCUGCCAUGGGGGAGCCGAGGGGAGCCCGGGGCCUGCUGGAUGCCUUCCCGAUUCUCCCGGCUUGUGCUGGUGCUGAUAGACGCUCUGCGAUUUGACUUUGCCCAGCCCCAGCUCUCACAUGUUUCUGGGGAGCCUCCCGUCUCCCUACCUUUCCUGGGCAAACUGGGCUUCUUGCAGAGGAUCCUGGAAAUUCAGCCCCACCAUGCCAGGCUCUACCAGUCCAAGGUUGACCCCCCGACCACCACCAUGCAGCGCCUCAAGGCCCUCACCACCGGCUCACUACCUACCUUUAUUGACGCUGGCAGUAAUUUUGCCAGCUACGCCAUAGCGGAAGACAAUCUCGUGAAGCAGCUUACCAGUACAGGAAGGCGUGUGGUCUUCAUGGGAGAUGAAACCUGGAACGAUCUUUUUCCUGGAGCUUUCUCCCAAGCUUUCUUUUUCCCGUCCUUCGAUGUUAGAGACCUACACACGGUGGACAAUGGUAUCCUGGAACACCUCUACCCAACCAUGGACAGUGGUGAAUGGGAUGUGCUGAUUACUCACUUCCUGGGUGUGGAUCACUGUGGCCACAAGCAUGGCCCUCAUCAUCCUGAAAUGGCCAAGAAACUUAGCCAAAUGGACCAAGUGAUCCAGGGACUCGUGGAGCGUCUGGAGAAUGACACACUGCUGGUAGUGACUGGGGACCAUGGGAUGACCACGAGUGGGAACCAUGGAGGGGACAGUGAGCUGGAGACCUCAGCUGCACUUUUUCUGUAUAGUCCCACAGCCCUCUUCCCCAGUGCCCCACCAGAGGAGCCAGAGGUAAUUCCUCAAAUCAGCAUUGUGCCUACGCUGGCCCUGCUGUUGGGCCUCCCCAUCCCAUUUGGGAACAUCGGGGAGGUGAUAGCUGAGGUGUUCUCAGAGGUUGAAGACUCCCAGCCUCACUCUUCUACUCUGGCCCAAGCCUCAGCUCUCCAUCUCAAUGCCCAGCAGGUGUCCCGAUUUCUUCACACCUACUCAACUGCUGCUCAGGACCUCCAAGUUAAGGAGCUUCAUCGACUGCAGCACCUCUUCUCCAAAGCUUCUGCUGACUACCAGCGGCUUCUGCAGAGCCCCCAGGGGGCUGAGGCAGCGCUACAGACUGUGAUUACUGAGCUGCAGCAGUUCCUGCGGGGAGUUCGGGCCAUGUGCAUUGAGUCUUGGGCUCGUUUUUCUCUGGUCCGCAUGGCAGGGGGUGCUGCUCUCUUGGCUGCUACCUGCUUUCUUUGCCUACUGGUAUCCCAGUGGGCAACAUCUCCAGGCUUCUAUUUCCGCCCUCUCCUAAUACCCAUGGCCUGGGGUUUGACUGGGGCCGUAGUGUGUGCUGGACUCCUGGCAACUACUGGGCUGAAGCUGGAUUCAGUGGUUCUAGGGGCCAUGGCUGCAGUGGGCUCACUUCUGCCUUUUCUGUGGAAAGCCUGGGCUGGCUGGGGAGCUAAGAGGCCCCUGGCAGCCCUGCUUCCCAUGCCUGGGCCUGUCCUGUUACUCCUGCUCAUUCGCUUUGCUGGUUUUUUCUCUGAUAGCUUUGUUAUAGCCGAGGCCAGGGCCGCCCCCUUCCUUUUGAUCUCACUCAUCUUGCUCCUGGUUGCCCAGCUUCACUGGGAGGGCAAGCUGCUGCCACCUAAGCUACUCACAAUACCUCGCCUUGGCUUUCUGACCCCGGCAGGCCCCCCACGUCACAAUGGCACGCAUGCCCUGGGGCUUGGAGUUGGGUUGCUUUUAUGUAUAAGGCUAGCUGGGCUUUUUCAUCGCUGCCCUGAAGAGACGCCUGCUUGCAGCUCCUCUCCCUGGCUGAGUCCCCUGGCAUCCAUGGUGGGUGGUCGAGCCAAGAAUGUGUGGUAUGGAGCUUGUGUGGGGGCGCUGGCGGCCCUGUUAGCUGCCGUGCGCCUGUGGCUUCGCCGCUAUGGUAAUCUCAAGAGCCCUGAGCCCCCUGUGCUCUUUGUGCGCUGGGGGCUGCCGCUGAUGGGACUAGGCACUGCCGCCUACUGGGCCUUGGCAUCAGGGGCGGAUGAAGCACCCCCACGUCUCCGGGCCCUGGUCGCUGGGGCAUCAGUUAUGUUACCUAGGGCUGUGGCCGGGUUGGCUGCUUCAGGGCUCAUGCUGCUGCUCUGGAGGCCUGUGACGGUGCUGGUGAAAGCUGCAGCGGGUGCUCCACGGACCAGGACUGUCCUCACUCCCUUCUCAGGCCCCCCCACUUCUCAGGCUGACCUGGAUUAUGUGGUUCCUCAAAUCUACCGACACAUGCAGGAGGAGUUCCGGGGCCGGCUAGAGAGGACCAAAUCUCAGGGCCCCCUGACGGUGGCCGCCUAUCAGUUGGGGAGUGUCUACUCAGCUGCUAUGGUCACGGCCCUCACCCUCUUGGCUUUUCCACUUCUGCUAUUGCAUGCAGAGCGCAUUAGCCUUGUGUUCCUGCUUCUGUUUCUGCAGAGCUUCCUUCUCCUGCAUCUGCUUGCUGCUGGGAUACCCAUCACCACCCCUGGUCCUUUUACUGUGCCUUGGCAGGCAGUCUCUGCUUGGGCCUUCAUGGCAACACAGACCUUCUAUUCCACGGGUCACCAGCCCGUCUUUCCAGCUAUCCAUUGGCAUGCUGCCUUCGUGGGAGUCCCAGAGGGCCAUGACUUUACCUGGCUGUCUGCUUUGCUGGUGGGAACCAACACCUUUGCCUCCCAUAUCCUCUUUGCAGUAGGUUGCCCAUUGCUCCUGCUCUGGCCCUUUCUCUGUGAGAGUCAAGGGCCCCGGAAGAGGCGGCAGCCCCCAGGGAAUGAAGCUGAGGCCAGAGUCAGGCCUGAGGAGGAGGAGGAGCCACUGAUGGAGAUGCGGCUCCGGGAUGCGCCUCACCACUUCAAUGCAGCGCUGCUGCAGCUGGGCCUCAAGUACCUCUUUGUCCUUGGUAUUCAGAUUUUGGCCUGUGCCUUGGCAGCCUCCAUCCUCCGCAGGCAUCUCAUGGUCUGGAAGGUGUUUGCCCCCAAGUUCAUUUUUGAGGCCAUGGGCUUCAUUGUGAGCAGCGUGGGACUUUGCCUGGGCAUAGCUUUGGUCAUGCGAGUGGAUGGUGCUGUGAGCUCCUGGUUCAGGCAGUUAGUUCUGGCCCAGCAGAAAGCUGGAGAACAAUCUAGCCUGGUCUAUACGGGUGCUGGAUCAUCUGCAAGAGAGGCUCAGUCACACCUCUUACCACCAUGCAGCCAGGAUCUAUUGGCAUCUGGGACUUCAUUAUUUUAUAAUUCAAAAUCAUAGUGGAGCCUAAUCCGUAACUCCUGCUUUGGAUACAUCUGAGGGACUGAGGGGCUGCCUCCGAAGUGGAAUAAAAUAAUGAUUUUCCCGCGGGGAGUAACCCUUGAAGACGAC